CCGCUUCAGCCGGCCGGAUUAUUGGCUUCUAGUUACCUCGGGCUCGGUUAUCGCGAGCGAGAAAAGAUGCGAACCAGCCGAGAGAGACGUCGUUGUCGUCGUUGCGCCACGAUGCCGACAACGGGGAAGGAGAUUUUAAAAGGAGAGAAAGGCGGGGUGGUGGCGACGGUGGUAGUGUAGAGACGACGUCGAACACCGGCACUCCGGCGGAUGGUUAUUUCAUGCGAGUAGCGAUAACAUUUUCCUAGCAUUUAGUUAAUGGAUGCUCGCUCAUGCUCCGCGCGCCGGCGUUCUCUCCCUUUCUCUCUGUUUCCUUUCCACCCUCCGUCCUUCUCUGUUUGCACCGGUCUCGGUGUGCGUGUGCACAAGUCACACCGUUAUAGCGACGUUAAAACGCCGGCGCGGAAAAGCGCGAUGAUCGUUAUUAUUGCGCGAGCAAAAGCGCGUCCACGGCUCUCGCCUCUCGCUCGUGCGCGCGGAUGCAGGCGGACACGUGUGCGUGAAUACAUAUAUACGUAUGUAUGUGUCUGUGGGGGUGAGUGGGUGAGCGAUUUCGCGCGAAACAUCUCGCUAAAACGUUCUCGCUGGCCGGUGAAACGCUCGCCGCUUUAUUAUCGGCAACGGCAACGGUAUUCAAGUGGAAUUUAUACGCGACGCGACCGCGGCCGCGCAUCGCUCGCAAUUUCCGAGACUGAGUAAUAAACGCGCUCCAACGCGUCAAAUGCGGAGGAAAAUCGGCGGCAGGUAAAUGUCAGAGUCCAGGAGAGAAUCGACUGCAGCUCGAGCAAGAAACGGCGACAAAAGACGGCUCGACAAAUCAGAGAUGCGUCUUGUAGGUAUUAUAUAUGCAAUGCGCGAUAUUGGAUAUGGCUAAAUGAUGCAUCAUGAGUCACCUGCGCACAGGUGGCAUUUUCUAACCAGGAAAGAGCCACACAUCGAUCCAUGACAUGUGAGGCACGUCGUCCGUCGUUAAACUGCGCCGUUCUACGGCAAUAAAGCGGCAUUUAUCGCAAUUAUCGCGACGGGACCGCAGAGACGGUUCCUGGUAACACCGCGAUGUGUCAUAAAUUUCGAGCGGAAUUUUCAGCGUGAUCGCCGCGGAUUUACGGCACGGCCGAUCGCGCGUUAUAACGGCGGCCCGCACGUGUCUCGUCGCGUUUAAACGCUCGCAAUCGCUUCUGCAUCGCCGUAUGGUCUAACAAUCCCGAACAACGUCCGCAACGUGAACGUUCUAUAUAAAGAGCGGUAACGCGGCUGAUAGCACAAAAUUGCACGCUAAAGCUAUCUCCGCGCAAACUAGAAAACGUUUUGCGAGAUUCCGCGGAGCACAAAGCGCGCCGCAAUCCAACUUGCGUCACAUCCGUAAUGCGUAGACGUAAGUCGCAAAUCGCGAGAGUACGUCGUCGCGCUCCGACAGAGCGAUCGAUUCCGCGCGAAAUUGCGGCCAAUUAAUGCUACAAGCGCGGAAUAUCUCGUCGCUGGUCGCGCAGAAAAUUACGCACGCGGACCGCCGCGGGCUGUUAGUUUCGAUAACUGUUGUGCGAAAAGCCGCGGUGAAAUAAACGCGGUGCGACUUGUCCGCUCGCAUGCUCGAGAGAGUAAGAGCGUGUUAUAUCGAGCACAUUUCUUUUUCCCCGACCCACGCAUCACCAACUGUUCGCGAUCGACGGACAUAAAUGCGUAUGCAUCAUGCACGUCGUUCUCUCGAUUAAUCGCUCGCGCCAACUCGUGCGAGUCCAUCGCAAAGACGAAUCCUCGUGACUCGCCGCUCGGCCGUUCCGCUCAUUCGAGCGCCCACUCACUCGCUCGAUGACACGAGCGCGCAAGUUCGUCGAAAUCGAUACGCGCUAUCAGCGGCCGCGCUGGAGCGGAAAGACAUGAAUAAGUAAAGACGCAUAUUACCACGAUGUACGCGGAUAUAACCCCCCGGGCGCCCUUCCUCGUGCGGCGAUAUCUGCACCGCGUGCGCCUUUGCACGUAAUCGGAAGCGCGUUGUUCUCCGCGCGCGGAAAUAGCUUUCCUCUCGUUUCCAUGAUUGACACGAGAGCGUCGAACAAAUUUGUGCGGCAUUCAUUAUUAGUGCGAUUUAGCUGCAUUCAGCUCCGACUACGCGAGGUCUGGAAGCACGCGGAUAAAAUAAAUAUUGUCGAAACAAAUUUUCGCGUCUCGCAUCCCCUGCCGCUCCCGUUAAUGAUAAAUUCGGUCAACAAUUUUAUGGCGGGCUGAACGGGCGCAAACUCGCGAGUGAGCAGCUAGUGAAUGAUUAAUCGAUUCGAACGAGUAUGUUUUUUCUCAAAUAUAUACGUCACGUUAAUCGGAUUAGAGUCGAAUAAUUACAAUUGACGUAGCACUUGAGGGGUGAUGCAAGAAAUAAAGUAAAAGCGACUUCGCUGACUGUUCCAUUUGCACGUGAUGGCAAGUAAAGGGAACAUAAGAACGUGAAAGAUUAAUACAAGCUAUAAAUCACGGCGCGCGAGCCACCGAUUCCGAGUGGCUGAAAGUUUUAUAGAUGGGCAGCAGGCACAAUUAAAUCGAUAACGUUAAUGUGCUCGUUACAUAGAAACUCAACCCAGAAACGUGAUAUAGAGCGAUAUAAAUAUUUCAAUCCGCUCCGAAUGCGUAACGACGUGUCACCUUGCAUCCAUCGAUCGUUGGCGCGGUUGCAUCAUUUCCUAUUAAACAAACAACGUUAUUAGCGAAUAACCACGCGGCGAUUGCGGACGUGAUUACAGUGAAAUUUGACGCGGAAACAAAUUCAAAUAGAAGAAAUUAACCAGCGAUAAACGCUUACAAAUUUCAUUAAUUUGUAAAAGCGCACAUAUUACUCUAUUACGCGUACACACGAUAAAAUAUGUAUCAAUUAUACGUAGCGGAAACAUAAAAGCACGUAUUAUGUAAUAUACAUAUAUAUUCUCUAAUAUUUGCAGAUAUUCAUAUUGUUACUUGUACGUACAUGUGUAUAAAUUACAUAUAAAUACAUGUAUACGACGACACAAAAUGCGGCAGGGAGGCUACAAUUCGCCGCCGGCGAGUAAACAACGUCAAAACUGUUCGCCGUAAUCGACACGAGAAUGGCAGAAUUAACUCGCGCAAAAAUCGACGGGUCGCUCCGGAGGCCGCUGAACUCCCAUCCGCGUUUUUUUCCUUUUCCCUUUUUUCCCCGCGAAUAUUCUAUUUGACGGGCUCAUCCAUUUUUGUGCGUUCCCGGCCGGAGCGUUCUCGCGCCGACUAAUAUACACGCGUGUCACCCGUGCCACGUCACGUCGCGAGCAUCGCCGGCUGCGAUUUCGCGAUGGGUAUUCGGAUCACUGAACUUACAGGCAUUCAGCGCGAACGGACGGAUGCGUGGAUAAAUGUGGAUUCACGGUGAAUGAGAGGGCAGAAGAGGAAGCGGGAGGAGAAAAGGGAAGGGAAAAGUUAAAGAGAGACAAAGAGGGAGCGAAAGAGAGAACGAAAGUUCGCCUCUCGGUUCUCGACCGAGGGAGAAAACCGUCGGGCCUAAACCGCCGUUAAAUCGCUCUCUCGUUUGCAUCGUCUCUACCUGCCUUCGAAUGAGAUCGCGUCCAUUGUGUGAGCGCACCGAGGGAAAAAGAGAGGCAGAAUGCGAGAGAAAGAAAGAGAGAGAGAGAAAGGGUGAGCACCCUUCUUGUUCGUGGCUACCGUUGCAGCCCCUCGUGAGACGCGCGCCUCGGAAUACGGCGCCGAGACUUGGAGUCGCGCUUUUUUCGCUGGCCGCCAAUCGAUAUUUCCGGUUCGAAUAAUUGCGCGACGCUUAUUCAAGCCACCAUACCAGAUCAAUACUCGUGUAACGCGUACGGGAUGACUCACAUGGCUCCAUGGCGAGGCGGAACGAGUCUUUAUCGCGCGAUCGGGAAUUAUAAUAAUAUUAAACGGUAAUCGCGUGACUCGAAAUGCUAUCGGAGACACAUCGGAGGUAGCGUCAUUAACAUAAGCGGGCUUCUCCAGUCGAUCGUUUAGCGAGCGCUUCGAUUGCGAUGGGAAAUUGUAAAAAUUAUUCUCGCACACGUACGAGAUCCUUGAUUGCACACGGAAGAAUGCCUCGUCGCUCCAUCAUCGUUUCCGACAGGAUUCGUUCUCAGGGUACGUGCGUUAGUUUCGCGGGCGAAGCCCUCGCGUUGGCAUAAGCAAGGAUUAAUGUCAGGAGAAACGUUUCGAGCGGUACUCGGCGAGCGGAGACGCCGGAGAGGCGAAGGCGAAAAACGCCCGUACAUCCUCGGUGCAUUCUGUGUUUACGGGCUGUUAACUGCGUGCGACUGUCUCGAGUUACAUCAAUAAACACGUACAUAGAUGCGCGCGCACGUGAUGCAACGACGAAGAGGAGGAGGAAGAGGCGACAGGCGAGAAGAGAGGCAAGAUGAGGACGAGAGAGGAGGAGAGCGAAAUAGAGAGACCAUUUAUUAUUAUUCAGCCGGCUCGUCUUACAUCAAUAAAUAUUUAUCGACAGCCGCAUGCGCGCCUCUCGUGCAAGCGGGAUGCGCGGACUAGCCGCAUUAACAUAAUCGUCGAUGCGGACAUGAGGCGAGCAACCGAAAACCUCCCCGGAGACGAAUCUGCACGGAGAUUUACGGAACUCGAGCUUUUCAGCGUCCGUGAACGAGCGCGAGAGGUCCCACGAGGUGAUUCUAUUGAAAAAUGCACGAUUAAUUUCGCAAAUCGCAUGCAUUUCCUGGACGCUCCCUUCAUUAUUCGGUAACGUUUGUUUGAGAAGAAUGCAGAAACUUGGAGCUAUAGAUUCGAAACAAUAUCAACCAUUUCGCUUUCCUCUUUCCUUCGCGAGAGAGAGAGAGAGAGAGGCAGCCAGGCAGACAGACCUUCCCUUAUUUCGCGGUAUCCGCACGAAACCUCGGCACAAGAGACUAAUUGGAUUUCGCUCCCUCGACACGCUAAUGACCGUAUUCCAUUUCCGCGGCUCGAGGUAGUCGGCGCGAUGCAUCUCCUCGCACGAUCUUCCGGCGGUCGGUCGUGGCGGCAUUCGAGCGAAAAUCGCAUUACCGCCGCGGUCGAAAGAGUUCCGUUCCCGCGAGUGCUUAAUGCAAAUGUUAGAAAAGGAGAAAAAAAAGCAAAGGAAGAAAAAGGAAAAGGAGAUUCGCGUUCCGUACUCUGAGAGAGAAAGAAUGAGAAAGAGAAAGGGGAGAGGAGAGGGAAGGAUAGAAAUUCGAAAGAAAUUCUGUAAUCGCGCCGUGUCCUAACGCGAUUAAAUCUACCGUCCAUGUUGUAAAGUCGAUACGACGUACGAUAAGUCGUGGCGAAUAAACGGUUUAGGUAGCGCACAUGGAGAGAUAAGACGCAACGCGUUAAUAAUUGCCCCUCAACCGAAGCAUCGGUCUCCGUAAUUCAACGCUAAUUUACGAUCGGAAUUCGUACUGCAAAUAUAGGUUUAUUCAUCCCGGCGUGCCAUAAAUUCGCCGAUGAAAUUACUCUCGCGUCUCGUGCAUCCCGAGAAAUAAAGGCGACAGUCGUUAGCUCCCAAGGAGGCUGUGUGAAGCUUUUCAAUGCUUUUCCGCCGCAAGAGAGAUGCCCGACCAUUAAUCGGCGCGUAUCGCCCCGCGGAUUUACGGCGAGCGUUUUAUUGAUCCGGACGUCAAAGUGCUCGUGCGCUACCAUGAAUUCAUAUACACGAGACGUUUUCGGGUGGGAGGGUACUGAUACACGACAGGUGCACGCGUGAAGAGCGACCCGCGUUCAGCACCCUUUCCUACCCCUGAAGAGCCGAGCGGCCGUUUCUUGAUCGCCCGGUACGUCAAUCGCGCGGAUGCACAUCAAUCGCGUUGUACGUGCACGCUGUUCUUCCGGCAACAUCGAUUUCAAGGUAUCAGGAGUGUUACCGACAUCGCGAUCCGCAUCAGUCGACCCGUGCAUGAGCGACGUUACCGUCGGCCAGUCCGCGAGGCGUAGCUGCAAAUGCGCUCGAUUCGCACAAUGCGAGAGAUGCGUCUUCGAUCCGGGAAGAUGGAAAUGUUCCAUCCACUCAUACAGGAUCACUCGGCAGAUUGAUCCGUUUCACAGAACCGCCGUCACUCCGCGUGAGCAGGCUAAUACGAGAUUUAAAUCUUUCCGACACUCCUGAGCUUUCGCAGACGUAAAAGCAUAGACCAAUACUGAAUAAACAAGUGCGUUAUCCGUUUGUGCAAGAAACUGCGCGAUAAUUUGUACACAGCAGUAAUGAAGUUAACGUCUCGAAUUAAACAUUCGUCUACAUUCGCGCGAAAUCGCACGUAUUUUUGUUUCCCCGAGUGAGUAAAUUCCGCGCAACGCAUUUCGCCAUGCAAAGCCGACUUUCAGAACUGCGCCUCGCGUUUAAUUAACGAGCACGCUCGAUUGCGAGCCCAUGGCCUCGAGGCGGCGCGAACUUAAUGACGAUAUUAUUCGGAGUCCCGGCUCGCUCGCUCGCUCGACAAGUAUAUCGUUUCAAACAAGGUGGAAGAUAGAGGAUGACAAGACAGAGACGAGCAUUGCGUGCGACCCAGAUCGCUUGAAUCACCGCGAGUCGCUUUAUCUAUUUUUAAGCGCGGGUCUAUAUUGUAUUUCGCGAACGCGAAAGGAAGAGGAAAGGAGAGAAGAGAGAAACACCGUGCAAAUCGCGAUGCGUGACGUUAUGCGCGCGGUGAGGAAGCGAGCGGUUCCGCUCGGCGGAAAACGUGGUAUUUAAACAGAGCAUUAUUCGUAGAAACACUCGGAACUUAUCACGUGUUAGGAGGAGGUGCGCAAUCUGCCGAUCUCAUUAAAGACUGAGCACGAUACAAUCGGAAAGCUUAAUACGACCGAGCGCGAAAAGGAGGCCGCGCGUAAAAUUCCGGACCAGCGUUCUGUGACGCGUGUGAAUUUCAAAUAUCGCGUGUGUAGGCGUUAAACGAAACAACACAAGCGAUUGUCAUAGGCACAUUAGAUAAGCGGGCCGGAAGCGCAUCGCUUUCAUCAUCGCUUUAACGCAAAAAAUCGGCGAUCGUAAUUGAUGCCGCAUUCGCGAAUCGAAGUCACUCGGAGUGAUAAAUUAAUCGAACGGUAAAUUAACGAUUGAAAUCAACGGGCAAGCAAUUCCACCAUCACUUAUUUAUUCCUCCAAAGUAACAUUUUCGGAAAAGUCCUUUAACUUCGCAAUCGAAUCAAUGAAGAACUCUCGAUGUUUUCGGCGAGGAACAAUCGAUUGCGAAAUUGGCCGAGGCACCUGCGAUAAAAAAAAAGGAAAAACGAAAAAGCGAAAGCAAGAGCAAGUGGUUUCGGGACAGCCUGUAUUUUUCGACACGCCGAUCGAUAAGACCUCGGUACAUUACAUAGCCGCGAAAAUGAAAUCCUCUCCAUCGGCGCGGGCCGCCGCUUCACAGCGCGAAUGCGCUUGGCCGGCGGAUGCAACGCGCGUCGAAGGGGCGCAUUUAUUACGCGGACGCGCGAUUGUGUCAGCGCGCGCGUGCGACAUAGCGACACAUUACGCACAUGCACGCACGCAUGUCACGAACGCACGAGAUGACCACGAACGAGAGAAACACCGCGAGUUUAAAAGCGCGGAAAAAAAAUCACAAACGCGAUUGAACGUCGCCAGUCGGCCGGCCGACAAAUUCUUUUUUUUUUCCUUUUAUUCGUGCGCGAUAUGCGCGCCGAUCGAUACGCGCGAUGCCUGUUCGCGGGAUUCGGCGACGAAAAACACAGAGCGGAAAUCGGAUUGUCUCGAUGCAGCACGACGUCGAUGACGAAUAAAUGUGUCGAGGAUCCGAGCCUGGGAAAACCAUGGGAAAUGCUCGCGGCUUCCGUGUAUUAUUAAAUAUUUAGGACAGAUCGCGAUGGAGAGAAAUGUGCUGCUCACUCGCUCGUCCGCAUUUCCGGUAUGCGCGCCGUGGUGAUUUUCGUGCGCGUACCGCCCGCGGUGACAUUUGUUUUUAGAAAUGCGCAUCGGCGUACCGGUGCCAACACGCGGUGUCGGAAUGAUACAUCGAUAAACGAUGACGCGCCCCGUAGAUAAUCACGAGCUAAUCGGCUCGUUAGUUCUCCUCUGGCGAUUUAUCACUUAUCACAUGGCGUCCCGCUCCGCAUGGCGCUCAUAUCGAAGAAACGAGCAUCGCCGCCCCGGCGGCGUUACGGAAGUUGAAUUAACUCCGGCGCGCUAAUACCGAUUCCGCCGAAAUGCGAUCACCGUAUUUCAACGGAUAAUGAUCACGGCACUCACGCGGGGAGGAACUCGAGCGAAAGACGAUGAUAGUCGUGCAAAACGAGUGCAUCGAGCGCAGCAAUCUACGCGCUUCGCCAUAAUUCGAGAGAGAUUGUUAUAUUAACAUAUCUGAUAAAUACCAUCAUCAGCGCUUUCGAUUUACACACACAAAUAAAUAAGCUCGCUCGCUCGGGCGGCCUUGCGCUCACCCCCGCACAGAAGCGAUCCGCCUAUUGAUUACGCGCGGCAGGCGCGCACUUGCCAAUUUAUCCGUAGACAGAAAACGCGCCAGCGCGGUCUCUCUCGCCGCGUGUGUGACAAUAGGAAAGCAGGAAGGCCCCCGCCACUCGGAUUCCAUGCAAUCAAUGAGCUCUGGCGGUGGCGGCGGCGGCGGCGGCAACGCGACCAGCGCGCGGAUUAAUCCGGCUUUACGACGUAUUUUUUUCGUCCGGCUCUAUUCCGCUCUCGCCCUCGUUCCCUCGCGCGUUUCCCCCUUCGUUUCGAGCGAGCCGAUACCCAACCUCAUGCUCUCUCUCUUCCUCCUCUCCCUGUCGGUCCUGUAUUUCCUCGCAUUUCCCCCAUGUGCAGCCUCCCCCGCAUCAAAAUACCGCGGAGAGCGCAUUAAGGGGCAAAGUCGAUCCGUCGCGCCAAUUACAUUCGAGACGAUCGUUGUUCUUGCCCCCCUGGAUCACUCCCUAGGUCCCCUCUGGAUGGAGAAACGAAUUCCAUGAGAUUCGAGCGACUCGGAGAGAAUUCAGUGAUACUUUCACCGUUCUUUGUACGUGUCGUCGAGGGAAUAAGAAAUUGUCAAAGAGAGAGAGAGCUACGCCUCUCGAAAUAAUUAUUAGGAGUCAGUGAAAAAGCCGAACACCGCUUUGGAGGCGUGUGUGGAGCGCCGCUGGAUAUUUCAUGUUAAUGCGAUUGCGUUAAUUAAGUGAUUGUUCGUGUCGGAGAAGGCCCGAGUAAUGGUAUGUUAAUUAUCAACCGCUGCGCGGCGUGCAUACGAUUUCUAAAUAUACACGUUCACGUGUUAAUGAACACGGAACUUUAUGGUUACGAGCGAAAAAAAUAGACAUAAAUUCGACGCUAUUCAACAGUGACGCAAUUAUUCAAAAUGAUCGACCACUCCGGCAGUUUCACUUUGAAAACGUUCCCGGCCCGGCUUUGGGCGAAACGGCACAAACUUCUUAUUGCUCGAAAAUGUCGCGCGAGAGCGCGUCCAAAGUUUAAGAAAACUGUCGCGAGGAAAGGGAGGAAAAAAAAGAAAAGUAGCAGCCGCCUCCUCGACGACGAGGGUGAGAAGCCUGAAAGUUUUCAGCGGGGAGCCAACAAGAGCGCGGAUGGCAAAGUUUUACAUAGUUAUUCCGGGUUAUUAAAUAACGUUACUCUCCCUCCCCUCCCCCCGCCACGUAUACCUUUAUAAAUAGCGUUUGCCGACAGCCACAAAUAGACUGGGCAAUAAAAAAGUAGCUACGACCGACUCGCAAUAUAUUUCUCUCUUUUAUGGACAACUUUAUUCAGCACAUUUCAGCGUUAUACAGCCCGCUAACAUUGCUGGAAAGAGACAUUAAACGGAAAACCUCUGCCUCUUUUUCCGCUUGAUAUCAGAGAUAUCUCUCGUGAUUGACAGCGACGAGCUUUCGGCAGUGCGCUGACGAAAGCCUUUUACCGCGCGCGCUCGCGCGAGAUAAGUAACGAUCGGGAACCCUUUUGAAGUUAAUUAGGCAGUCGUAUUUUACAAGUUUGCGGAAACGCGCGCGGAGCGCGAACGAGCGAGCGAGCCCACGGAGCGUACCUGUUAGGCAAACAGAAUUUAUGCGAUGCGAUGCAAGUGCAAUCUUCCGCCACGUUUGCGGUGCGCGAAACAGCCGAAGGAGAAAGGCGGAGAUAUACUUCGCGGCAAUUGAGGCUAAAUUGAACUCUACCUGGAAGUAAAAGAAAUCGAGGUGCAGUUGCCUCGUUCGACUUUCACGUUGGGCAAUUCGAUUACGAGUUAUGAAAGCGAUCUGUACAAGAGCGAGCGGUCUACGUGUGCGCGCGUCAAAUAAAAUCGGUUUGCGUCGCCACGGGACUUUAAUUUCGCGCGAGCAUCAUGCUGCAUAGACGAAAAUCAAAAACGCGCACGUUCAUUUGGAUCGCCGAACUCAAUUAUACCCGUUUUACCAUGACCAAGAAAAUACGUUAUUUGUUGAUCCUUGUCAAGGCUCUUUUUUAGUCUUUUGUGUUGUGAAGAGGAUACGUAUUUAAUUUCAGAAACGAUGUAACAUACGAUGAUUCUCCGAGAUAAAAAAAAAAAAGAAUUAGCGAGUAGAAAUUGACAGUACAAAUAUAUUUUAAGACUACAGGAAUUUUUAUUUAGAGAUAAAUGAUACUUUGUUGACCGAGCAGAUAUUAGACAGUAACGCGUGUAAAAUAUAGCGCAAAUUCAAUGUCAAAUAUAUUCCUAUUGACAGAAGUGCCUGCUACGUUGUAUUAUCAUAUCGUGACUCAUACCAUCAGGUGAGAUAACUAACCUGUUAUAAAUGUGAAACUUGACAAUGGCACGCAAAGUGUCGCCCAGUGUUUCGAUGAAACGUACAACACUAAUCUAAUAUCGCCACGCGACGUUACGUUGCUACAAAAAUUAUUUUGCGACGCUUCGAAAAGGCAAACAUGUAGAAUGACCGGACGUAGAAUAAUUGGAAAUGAAUUUCGAUAUUCCAAUAUUACGGUAUUUGCUGUUAUAUUAAAUAUUAAUGUACUAAUAACAUACAAUGCUAUUCAUUAUAAAUAAUAGUUUGUUGCAGAAAAAGCAAAAACGACGCAAAUAAGUUCGGUAUUUUCAACUUAUCAGACUUUACACCACAUUAACAAUCUUCAUCUGUAUCUCCAAAGAGAUUGCAAAUUACACGAGUUACGAUAUGCGAUAAAAAAAGGAAAAAGAAUGCGAGCGAGUAUACCGUAGGCGUCAGACAAUCUUAAACAUUUAAACGUUGCACCUGUAAACAGCUAAUGCGGAUUACGAUUUGCGUCAGUAGGCCAUUUUCGACGGCGCGAUAAUUAACGCUUCUCAUUUCGUGCCACUGUUAGCUCCACUUUUCACGGUGCGCUGACGCAAAGUGCUUCUUUUCCAAGAAAACAAAUUAAAAAGAUUGGCAUCGGCACCGUUGCCCAAGUUAACCGUAGAAGUAGGAAGCGAGCGGAAUACGUCGUGCCUUAUCGCGCGAUAAGCGCGCUCCAGACGCCCGCCGGGGGCUUUUAUAUCCGUAAGGUUCAUAAAUUAAGCAGAGCCCGUUAACAUCGAAGAAAUAAGGACGAGGAGUGGCUGCCACGUUGGCAUGGGGUCGACGUGGAAUAAAUUUAAACGCGUCUGUCUGGCACCUAAAUGUGUCUCGCGAAUUAUUGCUCGAUUUGCGAGACAGCCACGACGUUAAACUAGUGCCCGCGCUCGAGGAAAGUGAGAUGGAGAAGAGAAAGGGGCACCAAGAGCGGACCAAGAUUUCAUCUCGUUGCGAUCAAAUUCCUGACGGCGCGAUGCAUAAUAAACCCGCGAUAUACGAGCGGAGUGACGCUGGGAUUUUUAUCGAGCAGCGCGUCGAAAAGGUUUAAUGCGUGUUUCAUCGGCGUGCCGAGUGUACCUUAAAAUUAAACGUGCUCUCAUCGCGCCGAUUUCGCCUGCACGAGAGCGCGGGUCGUGAAACUUUUAUGAAUCCGUCAGAAUGAUUCUCUGCGAAUAGUUCGAAUGCAAAGAACCGCAAGCGCGUUGUUGCACCGUUUCAAAUUAAUUCCGCGCGGAGACGCGGUUAAGAGCGAUGAUAAUCCGCGAUACGUAUUAUUCGCGGUCGGAGAAUAUUAAUUUCCGGGUUCGGCGAGGUCGAAAUAAUCCCUGCUGUGCAUCUGAGAGAGGAAAUAGGAGAGAAUAAGAGAGAGGGGGGGGGGAGAGAGAGAGAGAGAGUAAACCGAUACGACAUCACAGAAGCAAUAAUGGGGUUUCUAUCGUUGUUGUGCCGGAAUUAAUACGAGCAAGGAGCGAUCAGUGGUCGCGCAGCGCAAGCUACUUGCUCGCUCGUUCGAUGCGCUUACGUGGGUGGCUCGUUAUCAGCGCAAAUUACCUUUGCUCCUACGCGCUUAAUUUAGUUCCGAGCGUGCAAUAAUAAUGCUCGCAUGACGCGCGAAAUUGCCGUCGAUCGAUGAUAGUGGCGAUUCAAGAUCAAAUCGGGCUCCGCCAGCAGCGCGAAGGAUCGCGAUACGACGUUCAAUGGCGAUUGUCUCCCUCCCCCCUCCUCCUUGCUGUGCAUACCGCAAAACGUGCAAUUACGUAACAGAGAUUCAUUGUAAAACGCAGAAACAUGAGCGAUGUCACGCCGCCGCGCGUAUCCACCGCUGCUUUAAUUACCUUUAAUGAUCGGUUAACGUUUAAUCUGUUGUGCGCAUGAUAAAACAUCUAGCUUCACGAUCAGAAAUAGCUUUUAUAAUCCCCACCGUGCUAAUGUGUAUAUUAUUGAACGUUCGUUACGUGGCACCGAAUAGCACGUACCUCGCGAAUGAUAUCAUUAAUACGGGCGCUCCGAGGCCAUACAUAAUGGCCACUUAACAAUUUUCGCUCGCAGCAGAAAUUCAAGAAUUGAUUUCCGAUGAUUUUUGCAUGUUUCUUUGUCCAGCUUUUGCAUCGUGCGUAAGUACCUCGCGCGUUUUACUCCAUCGCGCUCUGGCAUGUACGAUUAGAAGCAUCAGCGGCGUAUAACCGCUGCUUUAAUAAUACGCCGGCUGGAAAAUAUUUUCACGGGUAAUCGCGGGUAAACGUAGAUUUUUCAAAUGUUUAACGGAGGCUUAUCGCGAUGGCGCACAUACGCUGCGGCUUUUGUUUAAUCGCUACGAGACGCUGGAACUACAUGGUACAUAUACUUCGAACUCAACCAGGUGCGUAUUCGCGAUGCUAUCGGCUCGGAAACACGCCACGCGGCGCCGUACUGCGUACAAUCAGCACCGCAAUAAAUUACGUUCCGCGUGUGUUCCUCGCUAGAUCCCCAACGACAGGAAACCAAAAGGAGAUAUAAGACGCGUCUGAAAAAGAUGUCCGUCGACAAGUACGUGGGAAAGGCUGUCGCACCAGACUCAGACAGAAAAAAAAAGAACCGAGAGAAUGCCGUAUAUGAAACUGAGAGACGUGCGUUCGGAUCCGUCCACAUAUUCCACGAGGCGUUGACGUUUGAUCUUUAAUUAGCAUAAAAUAGUGAUCGCUAUUAAAAGAACCGCAAAAAUUUACAUAUAAUCUCCUACAUUCUAGACAUUCGUAUAAAGAAUUGAAAGCCAUCACGCAGUAAUUGCCGUCUCUUAUUGUAGCAAAGGAGACAUUAAUUAUGAUUCCGAUAAAUACUAUUAUAGUAUUAUUACUGAUUUAAUUUCGAGCAGAAGAGGAAUCGUUCCUUCCUGAAUUUACAACAAUUGCGCAGAUACGACCGAAAUAAUCCACGAGUGAAUUUAACUCCGCGGCGCGGUUUGGCGACUGUCGAUUUCUGCCAGAGUUUCGGAACAAGUGAAAACUAUAAUUAGCCCAUUACUCAAUACUGAAUGCGUUGAAAGUGAUCCAAGGCCUCGACAAAAAUACCGUGUCGGUCGGCGACUGGGCGUUAUUCGCGGCGGUCAAGCCGCGAUUGACGACACGCUGGAUUUAAGCUGCGAGCGCGUCAAAGCGAUUACUCUACUUAACUUUAUUAAUAUCACAAUCAGAAGCGCUCUCAUUCCACGUUGAGUAGAGGCUAAUUUCUUGCAACGUGAAUAUCACGAAUAUUCCUCAUCAACUUAGGUGAACAAGUGCCUGCAAUUUUCAAUUUCUGGCUAUUUACUAAUAUCGCUUCUUUUCCUGUCUAAAUCGAAUUUGAAAAAUGGUAAUUUGAAUCUGCACAGAUUUUGAUAUCACUGUACUUUGGUAUAUUCAAACGUCGCGUUAAAUAUUUUACAUUUUCUUGCAGAGAACCGAAAUUUCAAAAAAAUUCUGAAAAAUCAGCUCGUUGCAGAUUGAAUUUGUCAACGAUGUAAUGAGAAUAAGUGGUGAAUAAAUACGUGAAACAAUUUAUGACGGGCCACUUGCCGAAAAGAAGUCCUCGAAUAAUCAGACCAGAGUCAGAGUAGUCUGAAUUGAGUUCCGUCCCGCUUGCGGCGAGGCGGCUUGCAGAUUGUGCUGAAAUCGCGAGUCGCGGGAAUUUCCAUCGGCAUGACCGGACGACCUCUGCCAGAGCUUCCCCUCCGCCUCACCGCACUCUGAUGUAUCCACGAAGAACGAAACGGAGUUGCAGAGUUGGAGAUGGACGGAGAUCGGAUGAAAGAGAAGAAACAUAGGAUUGACGAAGACGGAGCAACGGAGGGAGACAGAGAACAAGAACGGAUGGAGGGACAGAGCGGGAGACGGCAAUCUGGCGUCCACGGUAAAGAAAAGCCCGAAUCGGCCGCUGUUUCUGGUUUCACCGCAUCCCGUGUACAGGACCGCCCUUUUAGAGCGUGUUCCUCGAGGAACCGACUUCGUCUCACAAUCAGACCUUCCCGAAGCAGUCUCAAUGUGGGACCAUUGAAGACGAACAUCAUUAUUAUCGGUCAACGCAGAGAAAAUAGACUGCCGCACGCUGGCUAAGGCUCCGGGCAUCGUCAGUUCCGUAAGCGGUAACACAACCGUUACGCUAACCGAUGUUAUACGUGACCAAAUACAGCUGGGUCUUUGGAACGAAGAGUGCUAUGUAUUAUAGUAUAAUACAAUUCAUGAUAGUUGGCAUUAAGCAUCAUAAAUCAAAUUUUCAAAAUUUCUGUUUUAUUUUUCUACAUUAUCAACAUCUAUUUUAUUAGCGAAAAAGGUUUAACUUAAUAUUUUCAUAGAAAUGUAUUUAAAGAAAAUUUUUAUUUCACGUUUAACUAAAAUUGUGGAAAGUAAUGGCAUGUCAUUUCUAAAUUUGAUUUAAAUUAUAUGGUUCUAUGUAUUCUUAAGAUCAAUCUAUGUACUAUUUUGAAUCGCUGACUAAGAGAUUGCCACGACUUUAAUUACUCUGACAAGGACAUCUAUUAUACUCGUAUCGCGUUGUGCGAAGAGACAAGAUUCUAUCUAGACUCUAUCGUUCUUGAUCGCUGUGACCGAAGAGGAAUCGAAUAAGUAAUGCUACGAUCCCAAUUUUAAUUAAGAAUUUUAUUAGUAAUGUAAGAACACAACAUUUGUUAUUCUUUUAUUAAUGAAUUUAAUAAACUUCUCAUUGACACUGACAUUAAGACUGACUUAUUCUCUUUCUCCCGAAUCAUUCUAUCAUUCCCAUAUCGCUCUAUCGAGGACACCGAAAACGACCGAGAAAAACAUUAGCGAUAAAGAAAAAGAGUCGUGCCAUUACGCAAGCCGUGCCGCCGCGUCGGAUUAACAGUUUCGACACGCAACGAUGCACCUGUAUAACGAUUUUCGUGACGUCGCAGCAAUUUGGCGUGUUUAGCAAACGACUUGACGAGUCAUUAAACAGAGAACACUGGCAAUUAAUUAUCACGUUUGCGUAAUCGCCGCUCGGCGGCGGUGGAGGUGUGGUUGCGCAACUAUCGCUCAUUCUGCUCUGCCAUCUCCGUCCCCCGUGUGGUCUCCGCUGCCUCCCCGGAACCGGGGAUCCCAUCGAUCCCCCUCGUCCCUCUCAUCAACCCUUUCUAUCCGGUACCAAUCAUUCCGCGUGGAAGUCGCGAUCCCGGUCGCGCGCGUGCCGGUAACCUUAAUUUUUCUUCGCGAUUUAAUCCUCCGCACAUGUCCCCCUUUCUCCCUUUUCCUUAAUUGAUCUGAAGCGCACGGCCUGCCAUCGCUCGCUGUGCCAUUUACAUUAUUCGAGUAACGUGACGCUGCAGACUUUAUGCCUCGCGUACCAUCCGGGCUCAAUUGCACGCGUAUCUGUUCUUAAAAUCAAUCGGCCAGUGAAUGUUCCUCAGAGGAUCAAACAUGAAUGUGCCCGCUAUCUAUUAGCAGAGAGAUAAAUGAACGCGUAAUUUCGAAUUACGAAGCCACCAACGUCGACACUUACGUUUAGAGCUCGUCUCGAUGCAUUGAGAGGCGCUCGUACGAUUUCAUGGAACAAAGAUCUAUCUCAAUUUCUAUUGAGUCCCAUCUCAAUUUCCAUUGAGUCCUAUCGUAACACGGAUCACGAUCGUGCCUGGGGAUAGCUAGCUAACGAAACGCGCGUGUCGAUCAGCUGUCAUUGCGCAAGGCGACAGCGAGUUACGCCAGAAUCGUGUAGAAAUUCGAAAAAGGUACUGGCCGAGAGAGGUAACUGCUGUUAAGAGCCAAUUGGUCGACCGUAAUGGUGUGAUUGCCAUUUGUUCGAAACGUCCGGCGACGGUGGAUCCGAUCGCGAGCUUUAACCUUCCGCUCGUUUGCACGUGCUCCGCCAAGUAAUGACGUUACAUAACGCAUUGAUAUCGUUUAGCGGCACACGUUGGAGCGCGCAAUGCUUAACUUGCGAAAGCAACAAUCGUUUUAAUAUUCAUGAAAACUGCCGCGAACAAAUCGCGAUAAACAAGUCGAGGAAAGAAUUUAUUCCAGAUUACGUUAACAAGAAAAUAAUUAAUAUAAUUACGAGCGAUGUAUCACACGAGGGAAACAAUUUACAUAUUCGACAAGAAAUCUUGUUUUCUGCACUAUAGAGCUCUCUUGGACUUUUUAGGAUGACCACUGUUGAUACGUGUCUCACAUAUUUUUACGUUAAUUUUCUCUAUUGUGAAAACACACUGCAACCUUUUCGGUAGGAUCAUCCUCAGUCUUCACGCGCGGUACCAUUUUAACGGCGACAGUGUACGAACCAAGUACAAAGCAACGCUGAUGAAUAUUCAGUGCAAUUCAGCGAGAGCUUUUUUUCCCGUGUACCCCGAUUAAAUCUCCGAAGACCAAAUCCGCCUCACGUUCCUUCCGGCAUUCUUACGAAUUCUCUAUCUCCGACGAACGUGAGAGAAGGUUAAAGGAUUCAAUGAGAACACCGAUCGCUAUUUCGCUGCGGGCGAGCGGCCUACAUGUUUAAGGGACCGAUACAAUGAGCAGCAGAUGAAGUCGGUGUGGUCACGGAAAAAAGGAAACAAGAAAAGAAAAGAAAAGGUAAAAGUAGAACGAAAAGGAAAAAGAAAUUCGUUGCGGUUGCCCCGGUCGGUGUCAAGGGGCGAACGGGCGUGAUAGGGGGCGCCCCGGGAUGGUCAGCGGGGUAAAAAUCCAGGCAUUCUCCGGGAGGUAUGUAUACGGCGGGAGAGACAAGGGACCGGUACGUAAAUCAAGGAAGGACCCGUCCGUAAAGGAAAUGUCGGUUGUGAAGAAAGAGGGAAGACGCCCGGGGCAGGAGGGGGAGGCGGAAAGGACAGGACUUUGUGGUUGCGUGUGGACGGGAGUGCGCGGUCACGAUCGUACAUCACCGCUGGUAUUUACGACGUACCACCGUAAAUCAAUGAUCGCAGGAGCAGCGCGCGAUUCAACGAGAUUCCUUUUCCCUUCCUGCUUAUACGCCUGUCGUCCCUUUCGCUUCGUAUACGCGAGACAACCAGUCUGUGUUGUUCCCUUCGCAUCCGCCUCCCCGAUGCUGCGAUACAUCGUCCUCUUCAACGAAAUCGAUGACGCAGAGGAAUCUCGCGCGGAAGCUGCUGAGCAACGCGAAACGUCGGAAGGACCGGUCUCUGGUGUUCAUGAGCACAAACUACGGAUUCUUUAAUUAAUUUCCACGAGAUUCAUCGGCGCGAAUCAUCCUCUCUUCUUCGACUUUAUGCGGACUCAUCUCGAUGUAACAGACGCGCGCGUUUUAUCUUUAAUCGCACGUCGAAACUAAACGAGGAACGGUAUAAUGCCAUGCACACGGUUAAACGAAGGUAAUCGGCGAAGAAUAGACGAGGGAGGAAUUCGCGUGCCGUCGACAAACGAGACAAAUGAGGUGGACACAAGAGGAAAAAAAGACUAAUCGCAUGGUUUCCCGAGCCACUCCAAAGAGUGGUCAACGGAUCAGAAGAAGGCAGAUCGAACAGUUGGACUUGUAUACCGUCAAGCAUUGUUUGUUCGGGCCCUUUAAAUCUGUUAAAAGCGUGACUCUUACCAGUCCGAAAAGGAUCCCCAUAACGAGAAGGUUUGGGACAGACGGACCAGGUCAGAUCACCUACACCGAGCUCAACGGUUACGCCACGAGGCGUUGCCCUUUGCGUCACGCAGAGUCCCCGAGAAUCAGUCGCUCAGCAACACUGCACAAAGGAGAAGGUUGCUUCUUCUCUUGCAGCUGAUCCCCUAAACCAUAUUACGCGAUCGUUGAGGAUAAGCCGAUCCGCCAAUCACGUCACCCUCUCUGCCUCGAGGAAAAUCACUCAUGCUCUUCGUACUUAAUGCGAAACGCGACGUCUUAGAACGCGAGAUAUCUGGAGUAUCAGAUUUACCUCAAGCGAAUAAAUAUUGUAACAAUUAAGAUCGAAUCGCGACGAGUCUCACAAAUAGUCGGUAUUUUUCUCAUUUAAUUCUGCAAUCUGAUCGUAUCUCUAAGUAAUGAGCUUUGUUCACAGUAACUAAAGUUUGAAUAAUUAAUAAGAGAUUAUACAACAUUAAGC
rnacentral:lncRNA from 1 species